GCCAUAUCACGUUCAAACACCGGUUUUCGUACGAUCACCGAAGUUAAGCAAUGGCGACCCUGUUUAUUUCCUAGAUCGGUGAUCGCUUGGGAAUACCAUGUGCUGUAAG